CCACCUUGGGCACGCCCGAUCUCGUCUGAUCUCGGAAGUUAAGCAGGGUCGG
rnacentral:rRNA from 10 species